GACGAACGCUGGCGGCGUGCCUAAUACAUGCAAGUAGAACGCACAGUUUAUACCGUAGCUUGCUACACCAUAAACUGUGAGUUGCGAACGGGUGAGUAACGCGUAGGUAACCUGCCUGGUAGCGGGGGAUAACUAUUGGAAACGAUAGCUAAUACCGCAUAAUAUUAAUUAUUGCAUGAUAAUUGAUUGAAAGAUGCAAUUGCAUCACUACCAGAUGGACCUGCGUUGUAUUAGCUAGUAGGUGAGGUAACGGCUCACCUAGGCGACGAUACAUAGCCGACCUGAGAGGGUGAUCGGCCACACUGGGACUGAGACACGGCCCAGACUCCUACGGGAGGCAGCAGUAGGGAAUCUUCGGCAAUGGACGAAAGUCUGACCGAGCAACGCCGCGUGAGUGAAGAAGGUUUUCGGAUCGUAAAGCUCUGUUGUAAGAGAAGAACGGGUGUGAGAGUGGAAAGUUCGCACUGUGACGGUAUCUUACCAGAAAGGGACGGCUAACUACGUG
rnacentral:rRNA from 1 species